GUUGGAGUCAUGGAUCAUGAAACUAAUGAGGCGGAACCCGAUCUGAGUGCCUCAUUUUGUCAGACAAGCAGUGUGGGCUCUCCAAGACAGGUGAUACUGGUGACAGGGCUCCGCACAGCAAGAGGCACAGUGAAAGUGGCAGCAUCAGGUUAUCCAUUGACAAGGGAUUAGAAAAUGGUUUGGCGGUUCCCAUUUUAGAGGGCUCUGCACAGCAUGAUUCCACAGCUUUGAAUACAAGAUCGCCAGUGUCACUUUUGCCAGAAGAAAUCAUCUCCAAUAUCGAUUGAUGUGUUGGUCUUCUCCAAGGAAAAACAAGAAGACAAAGAGAAAGCAUUUGCGUUGCCACCAUUACUCGAGUAUAUGUACUGUCCUGUGUAUCUGGCAGUUUUGGAAUUCUUGGG